GCCACUUCUGGGAAUGGGUCCUCCUGAUAGAUGGUUGGCUCUCGAGUUGGGGCGUCAGAAGUGCUUCAGGAAAAAGCCUUAGUAUCGUUGUGUGCUUUUGGUCCGCCCGUGAGGCUGCAUGCAUGGUGGUUGAUGUGCUUUGUGAAAGAGCACAGACGCAGUUUGGAUCCCGAAUGAGCCAAUGUGGUGGCAGACCUCAGGGAUGACUUCUCUGGUAGGAGGCGCAUGUGAACCCGAGACCUCAGCUUGUAGUUAUUGAGCCUAGGACAGCCGUGAAUGGUUUGGGGAGUGGAAAGGCCUAACUGGGUCCAAAGAAGUGCGUAAGGAUUGUUGCCUGUGCCUGAAGGAAGUAGAGAGUGAUGAAAUUCAGCAGUUUGCCAAGUGCCUUUCAUAGGCGCUGGAGAGGCGUUGAGGGUCUCCUCUCCUGCACAAGUUGUGGGGUUCAGGCAUUGGACCUUCAGGGUGGGGCUGGGGCUCCUGUUGGAGUCUAUGUCACGUGGGGCUCCGAGAUGCCCGUGGCAAUGGCCCAGAAAGGCAGGAGGUUUCCAGAGGACGUACAUUCUCAAGUUCGUCCUUCCAUGCUUGGCCAUCCUGUGCAGGGAAGGUGUCAGGGUCAGAUGGGGUUGUAGAGUUGGAUGGAGAUUCUAGAUGGGUUUCCUGUGGCUGGAAGUGUUUCUUGGUCACCUUAAGAGCCACAUGGGACCUGAGCUAAGGCCGGCAUGGCGCAGGCAAGUGAAAAGUCUGCAUUCCCUAACGAGCGUGUACUGAGGAGCAGCAGGCUGCGGAGCAGGCCAGUCUUGGUUAUUCUUCAUGGGCAUCCCUCUGUUUUGUCUCCUUGCAUUCGCAUGGCAGGUCGUGUUUCCACGGAAGCAUGGAAAGGUUGCCGCCGGCUCCUGUGGCUGUGGGAAGAUGCCCAGGGAGGACGGGGAACACCCGCAUGCCCGUGCCCUCUGUUUCCUGAGUGUGGCCCUUCAUAGCUGACGAUGGUAAGCGUCUCCUUGCCCCAAGUCACCGAGGUUGGUCCUUGCCAGGUGAGGGUCACAAGCGUGGAUCGAUGAUGACUCCCACAAAAACAUUCCUUGGAAGCUGAACAAAAUGAGUGAAAACUCUAUACCGUCGUUCUCAUCGAAACUGAGGUCCACCACGUAGACGUAGGGGGCUGCAGUGAGUUGGGUGGUGGAGGGGAGAACCCUGUGGCCCUUUCCCGACGGGGGCUGUGUGGGAAUGGACCCUGGAAGGGAAGGCCCUUUUCAGCCGAGUUCACUUGGCGUUAGGACUCCGAGCCUGUAGUCCUCUGAGUGUCAGUCCUGAUUUGGUUUCGGCAUGCAUGGGUGAUCCAGAGCUCAAGACGUUGAGGAAGACAUUGGCCUGCCCGGGAUGAUUUCCUAGUGGGUGUUCGGCAGUAGGGUUCAGAGGUACUAGGAGGUUGUGGGCCAUGGCACAGGAGAGUAAGUUUCCUCCUCUUGUGGCCUGGAGACGAUUUUGCCAGGGCGAGUAGAACCAUGCUGGUCUGCUGGGUGUUCCAGAGAAAAUUGAGGUCCUCUUUCAGCGGAAGGCGGAGGCAGGCCCAGCGCAAAGCAUGGGAGACCCUUCUUUAGUGCACAGGGGCGUGGUGUUUCCGGGAGUCUGGUGGGUUUUCUCUUUUCCUGGAAAUGCUACAGUGUUGUCAGUGGUAUUGGCACACAAUGUUGGCAGGAGCCAUGGUCCACCAGGGGAAGGAAGGGUGGGUCUCCAGAGGGACCAGUGCCUGGAUGAGUAGAUGGACAUUUGAGGGAAUGCAAAUGGAGAAACUGGGUCUUACCACCAAGCGGGGCCUUUGGCUGCCACUUCUGGGAAUGGGUCCUCCUGAUAGAUGGUUGGCUCUCGAGUUGGGGCGUCAGAAGUGCUUCAGGAAAAAGCCUUAGUAUCGUUGUGUGCUUUUGGUCCGCCCGUGAGGCUGCAUGCAUGGUGGUUGAUGUGCUUUGUGAAAGAGCACAGACGCAGUUUGGAUCCCGAAUGAGCCAAUGUGGUGGCAGACCUCAGGGAUGACUUCUCUGGUAGGAGGCGCAUGUGAACCCGAGACCUCAGCUUGUAGUUAUUGAGCCUAGGACAGCCGUGAAUGGUUUGGGGAGUGGAAAGGCCUAACUGGGUCCAAAGAAGUGCGUAAGGAUUGUUGCCUGUGCCUGAAGGAAGUAGAGAGUGAUGAAAUUCAGCAGUUUGCCAAGUGCCUUUCAUAGGCGCUGGAGAGGCGUUGAGGGUCUCCUCUCCUGCACAAGUUGUGGGGUUCAGGCAUUGGACCUUCAGGGUGGGGCUGGGGCUCCUGUUGGAGUCUAUGUCACGUGGGGCUCCGAGAUGCCCGUGGCAAUGGCCCAGAAAGGCAGGAGGUUUCCAGAGGACGUACAUUCUCAAGUUCGUCCUUCCAUGCUUGGCCAUCCUGUGCAGGGAAGGUGUCAGGGUCAGAUGGGGUUGUAGAGUUGGAUGGAGAUUCUAGAUGGGUUUCCUGUGGCUGGAAGUGUUUCUUGGUCACCUUAAGAGCCACAUGGGACCUGAGCUAAGGCCGGCAUGGCGCAGGCAAGUGAAAAGUCUGCAUUCCCUAACGAGCGUGUACUGAGGAGCAGCAGGCUGCGGAGCAGGCCAGUCUUGGUUAUUCUUCAUGGGCAUCCCUCUGUUUUGUCUCCUUGCAUUCGCAUGGCAGGUCGUGUUUCCACGGAAGCAUGGAAAGGUUGCCGCCGGCUCCUGUGGCUGUGGGAAGAUGCCCAGGGAGGACGGGGAACACCCGCAUGCCCGUGCCCUCUGUUUCCUGAGUGUGGCCCUUCAUAGCUGACGAUGGUAAGCGUCUCCUUGCCCCAAGUCACCGAGGUUGGUCCUUGCCAGGUGAGGGUCACAAGCGUGGAUCGAUGAUGACUCCCACAAAAACAUUCCUUGGAAGCUGAACAAAAUGAGUGAAAACUCUAUACCGUCGUUCUCAUCGAAACUGAGGUCCACCACGUAGACGUAGGGGGCUGCAGUGAGUUGGGUGGUGGAGGGGAGAACCCUGUGGCCCUUUCCCGACGGGGGCUGUGUGGGAAUGGACCCUGGAAGGGAAGGCCCUUUUCAGCCGAGUUCACUUGGCGUUAGGACUCCGAGCCUGUAGUCCUCUGAGUGUCAGUCCUGAUUUGGUUUCGGCAUGCAUGGGUGAUCCAGAGCUCAAGACGUUGAGGAAGACAUUGGCCUGCCCGGGAUGAUUUCCUAGUGGGUGUUCGGCAGUAGGGUUCAGAGGUACUAGGAGGUUGUGGGCCAUGGCACAGGAGAGUAAGUUUCCUCCUCUUGUGGCCUGGAGACGAUUUUGCCAGGGCGAGUAGAACCAUGCUGGUCUGCUGGGUGUUCCAGAGAAAAUUGAGGUCCUCUUUCAGCGGAAGGCGGAGGCAGGCCCAGCGCAAAGCAUGGGAGACCCUUCUUUAGUGCACAGGGGCGUGGUGUUUCCGGGAGUCUGGUGGGUUUUCUCUUUUCCUGGAAAUGCUACAGUGUUGUCAGUGGUAUUGGCACACAAUGUUGGCAGGAGCCAUGGUCCACCAGGGGAAGGAAGGGUGGGUCUCCAGAGGGACCAGUGCCUGGAUGAGUAGAUGGACAUUUGAGGGAAUGCAAAUGGAGAAACUGGGUCUUACCACCAAGCGGGGCCUUUGGCUGCCACUUCUGGGAAUGGGUCCUCCUGAUAGAUGGUUGGCUCUCGAGUUGGGGCGUCAGAAGUGCUUCAGGAAAAAGCCUUAGUAUCGUUGUGUGCUUUUGGUCCGCCCGUGAGGCUGCAUGCAUGGUGGUUGAUGUGCUUUGUGAAAGAGCACAGACGCAGUUUGGAUCCCGAAUGAGCCAAUGUGGUGGCAGACCUCAGGGAUGACUUCUCUGGUAGGAGGCGCAUGUGAACCCGAGACCUCAGCUUGUAGUUAUUGAGCCUAGGACAGCCGUGAAUGGUUUGGGGAGUGGAAAGGCCUAACUGGGUCCAAAGAAGUGCGUAAGGAUUGUUGCCUGUGCCUGAAGGAAGUAGAGAGUGAUGAAAUUCAGCAGUUUGCCAAGUGCCUUUCAUAGGCGCUGGAGAGGCGUUGAGGGUCUCCUCUCCUGCACAAGUUGUGGGGUUCAGGCAUUGGACCUUCAGGGUGGGGCUGGGGCUCCUGUUGGAGUCUAUGUCACGUGGGGCUCCGAGAUGCCCGUGGCAAUGGCCCAGAAAGGCAGGAGGUUUCCAGAGGACGUACAUUCUCAAGUUCGUCCUUCCAUGCUUGGCCAUCCUGUGCAGGGAAGGUGUCAGGGUCAGAUGGGGUUGUAGAGUUGGAUGGAGAUUCUAGAUGGGUUUCCUGUGGCUGGAAGUGUUUCUUGGUCACCUUAAGAGCCACAUGGGACCUGAGCUAAGGCCGGCAUGGCGCAGGCAAGUGAAAAGUCUGCAUUCCCUAACGAGCGUGUACUGAGGAGCAGCAGGCUGCGGAGCAGGCCAGUCUUGGUUAUUCUUCAUGGGCAUCCCUCUGUUUUGUCUCCUUGCAUUCGCAUGGCAGGUCGUGUUUCCACGGAAGCAUGGAAAGGUUGCCGCCGGCUCCUGUGGCUGUGGGAAGAUGCCCAGGGAGGACGGGGAACACCCGCAUGCCCGUGCCCUCUGUUUCCUGAGUGUGGCCCUUCAUAGCUGACGAUGGUAAGCGUCUCCUUGCCCCAAGUCACCGAGGUUGGUCCUUGCCAGGUGAGGGUCACAAGCGUGGAUCGAUGAUGACUCCCACAAAAACAUUCCUUGGAAGCUGAACAAAAUGAGUGAAAACUCUAUACCGUCGUUCUCAUCGAAACUGAGGUCCACCACGUAGACGUAGGGGGCUGCAGUGAGUUGGGUGGUGGAGGGGAGAACCCUGUGGCCCUUUCCCGACGGGGGCUGUGUGGGAAUGGACCCUGGAAGGGAAGGCCCUUUUCAGCCGAGUUCACUUGGCGUUAGGACUCCGAGCCUGUAGUCCUCUGAGUGUCAGUCCUGAUUUGGUUUCGGCAUGCAUGGGUGAUCCAGAGCUCAAGACGUUGAGGAAGACAUUGGCCUGCCCGGGAUGAUUUCCUAGUGGGUGUUCGGCAGUAGGGUUCAGAGGUACUAGGAGGUUGUGGGCCAUGGCACAGGAGAGUAAGUUUCCUCCUCUUGUGGCCUGGAGACGAUUUUGCCAGGGCGAGUAGAACCAUGCUGGUCUGCUGGGUGUUCCAGAGAAAAUUGAGGUCCUCUUUCAGCGGAAGGCGGAGGCAGGCCCAGCGCAAAGCAUGGGAGACCCUUCUUUAGUGCACAGGGGCGUGGUGUUUCCGGGAGUCUGGUGGGUUUUCUCUUUUCCUGGAAAUGCUACAGUGUUGUCAGUGGUAUUGGCACACAAUGUUGGCAGGAGCCAUGGUCCACCAGGGGAAGGAAGGGUGGGUCUCCAGAGGGACCAGUGCCUGGAUGAGUAGAUGGACAUUUGAGGGAAUGCAAAUGGAGAAACUGGGUCUUACCACCAAGCGGGGCCUUUGGCUGCCACUUCUGGGAAUGGGUCCUCCUGAUAGAUGGUUGGCUCUCGAGUUGGGGCGUCAGAAGUGCUUCAGGAAAAAGCCUUAGUAUCGUUGUGUGCUUUUGGUCCGCCCGUGAGGCUGCAUGCAUGGUGGUUGAUGUGCUUUGUGAAAGAGCACAGACGCAGUUUGGAUCCCGAAUGAGCCAAUGUGGUGGCAGACCUCAGGGAUGACUUCUCUGGUAGGAGGCGCAUGUGAACCCGAGACCUCAGCUUGUAGUUAUUGAGCCUAGGACAGCCGUGAAUGGUUUGGGGAGUGGAAAGGCCUAACUGGGUCCAAAGAAGUGCGUAAGGAUUGUUGCCUGUGCCUGAAGGAAGUAGAGAGUGAUGAAAUUCAGCAGUUUGCCAAGUGCCUUUCAUAGGCGCUGGAGAGGCGUUGAGGGUCUCCUCUCCUGCACAAGUUGUGGGGUUCAGGCAUUGGACCUUCAGGGUGGGGCUGGGGCUCCUGUUGGAGUCUAUGUCACGUGGGGCUCCGAGAUGCCCGUGGCAAUGGCCCAGAAAGGCAGGAGGUUUCCAGAGGACGUACAUUCUCAAGUUCGUCCUUCCAUGCUUGGCCAUCCUGUGCAGGGAAGGUGUCAGGGUCAGAUGGGGUUGUAGAGUUGGAUGGAGAUUCUAGAUGGGUUUCCUGUGGCUGGAAGUGUUUCUUGGUCACCUUAAGAGCCACAUGGGACCUGAGCUAAGGCCGGCAUGGCGCAGGCAAGUGAAAAGUCUGCAUUCCCUAACGAGCGUGUACUGAGGAGCAGCAGGCUGCGGAGCAGGCCAGUCUUGGUUAUUCUUCAUGGGCAUCCCUCUGUUUUGUCUCCUUGCAUUCGCAUGGCAGGUCGUGUUUCCACGGAAGCAUGGAAAGGUUGCCGCCGGCUCCUGUGGCUGUGGGAAGAUGCCCAGGGAGGACGGGGAACACCCGCAUGCCCGUGCCCUCUGUUUCCUGAGUGUGGCCCUUCAUAGCUGACGAUGGUAAGCGUCUCCUUGCCCCAAGUCACCGAGGUUGGUCCUUGCCAGGUGAGGGUCACAAGCGUGGAUCGAUGAUGACUCCCACAAAAACAUUCCUUGGAAGCUGAACAAAAUGAGUGAAAACUCUAUACCGUCGUUCUCAUCGAAACUGAGGUCCACCACGUAGACGUAGGGGGCUGCAGUGAGUUGGGUGGUGGAGGGGAGAACCCUGUGGCCCUUUCCCGACGGGGGCUGUGUGGGAAUGGACCCUGGAAGGGAAGGCCCUUUUCAGCCGAGUUCACUUGGCGUUAGGACUCCGAGCCUGUAGUCCUCUGAGUGUCAGUCCUGAUUUGGUUUCGGCAUGCAUGGGUGAUCCAGAGCUCAAGACGUUGAGGAAGACAUUGGCCUGCCCGGGAUGAUUUCCUAGUGGGUGUUCGGCAGUAGGGUUCAGAGGUACUAGGAGGUUGUGGGCCAUGGCACAGGAGAGUAAGUUUCCUCCUCUUGUGGCCUGGAGACGAUUUUGCCAGGGCGAGUAGAACCAUGCUGGUCUGCUGGGUGUUCCAGAGAAAAUUGAGGUCCUCUUUCAGCGGAAGGCGGAGGCAGGCCCAGCGCAAAGCAUGGGAGACCCUUCUUUAGUGCACAGGGGCGUGGUGUUUCCGGGAGUCUGGUGGGUUUUCUCUUUUCCUGGAAAUGCUACAGUGUUGUCAGUGGUAUUGGCACACAAUGUUGGCAGGAGCCAUGGUCCACCAGGGGAAGGAAGGGUGGGUCUCCAGAGGGACCAGUGCCUGGAUGAGUAGAUGGACAUUUGAGGGAAUGCAAAUGGAGAAACUGGGUCUUACCACCAAGCGGGGCCUUUGGCUGCCACUUCUGGGAAUGGGUCCUCCUGAUAGAUGGUUGGCUCUCGAGUUGGGGCGUCAGAAGUGCUUCAGGAAAAAGCCUUAGUAUCGUUGUGUGCUUUUGGUCCGCCCGUGAGGCUGCAUGCAUGGUGGUUGAUGUGCUUUGUGAAAGAGCACAGACGCAGUUUGGAUCCCGAAUGAGCCAAUGUGGUGGCAGACCUCAGGGAUGACUUCUCUGGUAGGAGGCGCAUGUGAACCCGAGACCUCAGCUUGUAGUUAUUGAGCCUAGGACAGCCGUGAAUGGUUUGGGGAGUGGAAAGGCCUAACUGGGUCCAAAGAAGUGCGUAAGGAUUGUUGCCUGUGCCUGAAGGAAGUAGAGAGUGAUGAAAUUCAGCAGUUUGCCAAGUGCCUUUCAUAGGCGCUGGAGAGGCGUUGAGGGUCUCCUCUCCUGCACAAGUUGUGGGGUUCAGGCAUUGGACCUUCAGGGUGGGGCUGGGGCUCCUGUUGGAGUCUAUGUCACGUGGGGCUCCGAGAUGCCCGUGGCAAUGGCCCAGAAAGGCAGGAGGUUUCCAGAGGACGUACAUUCUCAAGUUCGUCCUUCCAUGCUUGGCCAUCCUGUGCAGGGAAGGUGUCAGGGUCAGAUGGGGUUGUAGAGUUGGAUGGAGAUUCUAGAUGGGUUUCCUGUGGCUGGAAGUGUUUCUUGGUCACCUUAAGAGCCACAUGGGACCUGAGCUAAGGCCGGCAUGGCGCAGGCAAGUGAAAAGUCUGCAUUCCCUAACGAGCGUGUACUGAGGAGCAGCAGGCUGCGGAGCAGGCCAGUCUUGGUUAUUCUUCAUGGGCAUCCCUCUGUUUUGUCUCCUUGCAUUCGCAUGGCAGGUCGUGUUUCCACGGAAGCAUGGAAAGGUUGCCGCCGGCUCCUGUGGCUGUGGGAAGAUGCCCAGGGAGGACGGGGAACACCCGCAUGCCCGUGCCCUCUGUUUCCUGAGUGUGGCCCUUCAUAGCUGACGAUGGUAAGCGUCUCCUUGCCCCAAGUCACCGAGGUUGGUCCUUGCCAGGUGAGGGUCACAAGCGUGGAUCGAUGAUGACUCCCACAAAAACAUUCCUUGGAAGCUGAACAAAAUGAGUGAAAACUCUAUACCGUCGUUCUCAUCGAAACUGAGGUCCACCACGUAGACGUAGGGGGCUGCAGUGAGUUGGGUGGUGGAGGGGAGAACCCUGUGGCCCUUUCCCGACGGGGGCUGUGUGGGAAUGGACCCUGGAAGGGAAGGCCCUUUUCAGCCGAGUUCACUUGGCGUUAGGACUCCGAGCCUGUAGUCCUCUGAGUGUCAGUCCUGAUUUGGUUUCGGCAUGCAUGGGUGAUCCAGAGCUCAAGACGUUGAGGAAGACAUUGGCCUGCCCGGGAUGAUUUCCUAGUGGGUGUUCGGCAGUAGGGUUCAGAGGUACUAGGAGGUUGUGGGCCAUGGCACAGGAGAGUAAGUUUCCUCCUCUUGUGGCCUGGAGACGAUUUUGCCAGGGCGAGUAGAACCAUGCUGGUCUGCUGGGUGUUCCAGAGAAAAUUGAGGUCCUCUUUCAGCGGAAGGCGGAGGCAGGCCCAGCGCAAAGCAUGGGAGACCCUUCUUUAGUGCACAGGGGCGUGGUGUUUCCGGGAGUCUGGUGGGUUUUCUCUUUUCCUGGAAAUGCUACAGUGUUGUCAGUGGUAUUGGCACACAAUGUUGGCAGGAGCCAUGGUCCACCAGGGGAAGGAAGGGUGGGUCUCCAGAGGGACCAGUGCCUGGAUGAGUAGAUGGACAUUUGAGGGAAUGCAAAUGGAGAAACUGGGUCUUACCACCAAGCGGGGCCUUUGGCUGCCACUUCUGGGAAUGGGUCCUCCUGAUAGAUGGUUGGCUCUCGAGUUGGGGCGUCAGAAGUGCUUCAGGAAAAAGCCUUAGUAUCGUUGUGUGCUUUUGGUCCGCCCGUGAGGCUGCAUGCAUGGUGGUUGAUGUGCUUUGUGAAAGAGCACAGACGCAGUUUGGAUCCCGAAUGAGCCAAUGUGGUGGCAGACCUCAGGGAUGACUUCUCUGGUAGGAGGCGCAUGUGAACCCGAGACCUCAGCUUGUAGUUAUUGAGCCUAGGACAGCCGUGAAUGGUUUGGGGAGUGGAAAGGCCUAACUGGGUCCAAAGAAGUGCGUAAGGAUUGUUGCCUGUGCCUGAAGGAAGUAGAGAGUGAUGAAAUUCAGCAGUUUGCCAAGUGCCUUUCAUAGGCGCUGGAGAGGCGUUGAGGGUCUCCUCUCCUGCACAAGUUGUGGGGUUCAGGCAUUGGACCUUCAGGGUGGGGCUGGGGCUCCUGUUGGAGUCUAUGUCACGUGGGGCUCCGAGAUGCCCGUGGCAAUGGCCCAGAAAGGCAGGAGGUUUCCAGAGGACGUACAUUCUCAAGUUCGUCCUUCCAUGCUUGGCCAUCCUGUGCAGGGAAGGUGUCAGGGUCAGAUGGGGUUGUAGAGUUGGAUGGAGAUUCUAGAUGGGUUUCCUGUGGCUGGAAGUGUUUCUUGGUCACCUUAAGAGCCACAUGGGACCUGAGCUAAGGCCGGCAUGGCGCAGGCAAGUGAAAAGUCUGCAUUCCCUAACGAGCGUGUACUGAGGAGCAGCAGGCUGCGGAGCAGGCCAGUCUUGGUUAUUCUUCAUGGGCAUCCCUCUGUUUUGUCUCCUUGCAUUCGCAUGGCAGGUCGUGUUUCCACGGAAGCAUGGAAAGGUUGCCGCCGGCUCCUGUGGCUGUGGGAAGAUGCCCAGGGAGGACGGGGAACACCCGCAUGCCCGUGCCCUCUGUUUCCUGAGUGUGGCCCUUCAUAGCUGACGAUGGUAAGCGUCUCCUUGCCCCAAGUCACCGAGGUUGGUCCUUGCCAGGUGAGGGUCACAAGCGUGGAUCGAUGAUGACUCCCACAAAAACAUUCCUUGGAAGCUGAACAAAAUGAGUGAAAACUCUAUACCGUCGUUCUCAUCGAAACUGAGGUCCACCACGUAGACGUAGGGGGCUGCAGUGAGUUGGGUGGUGGAGGGGAGAACCCUGUGGCCCUUUCCCGACGGGGGCUGUGUGGGAAUGGACCCUGGAAGGGAAGGCCCUUUUCAGCCGAGUUCACUUGGCGUUAGGACUCCGAGCCUGUAGUCCUCUGAGUGUCAGUCCUGAUUUGGUUUCGGCAUGCAUGGGUGAUCCAGAGCUCAAGACGUUGAGGAAGACAUUGGCCUGCCCGGGAUGAUUUCCUAGUGGGUGUUCGGCAGUAGGGUUCAGAGGUACUAGGAGGUUGUGGGCCAUGGCACAGGAGAGUAAGUUUCCUCCUCUUGUGGCCUGGAGACGAUUUUGCCAGGGCGAGUAGAACCAUGCUGGUCUGCUGGGUGUUCCAGAGAAAAUUGAGGUCCUCUUUCAGCGGAAGGCGGAGGCAGGCCCAGCGCAAAGCAUGGGAGACCCUUCUUUAGUGCACAGGGGCGUGGUGUUUCCGGGAGUCUGGUGGGUUUUCUCUUUUCCUGGAAAUGCUACAGUGUUGUCAGUGGUAUUGGCACACAAUGUUGGCAGGAGCCAUGGUCCACCAGGGGAAGGAAGGGUGGGUCUCCAGAGGGACCAGUGCCUGGAUGAGUAGAUGGACAUUUGAGGGAAUGCAAAUGGAGAAACUGGGUCUUACCACCAAGCGGGGCCUUUGGCUGCCACUUCUGGGAAUGGGUCCUCCUGAUAGAUGGUUGGCUCUCGAGUUGGGGCGUCAGAAGUGCUUCAGGAAAAAGCCUUAGUAUCGUUGUGUGCUUUUGGUCCGCCCGUGAGGCUGCAUGCAUGGUGGUUGAUGUGCUUUGUGAAAGAGCACAGACGCAGUUUGGAUCCCGAAUGAGCCAAUGUGGUGGCAGACCUCAGGGAUGACUUCUCUGGUAGGAGGCGCAUGUGAACCCGAGACCUCAGCUUGUAGUUAUUGAGCCUAGGACAGCCGUGAAUGGUUUGGGGAGUGGAAAGGCCUAACUGGGUCCAAAGAAGUGCGUAAGGAUUGUUGCCUGUGCCUGAAGGAAGUAGAGAGUGAUGAAAUUCAGCAGUUUGCCAAGUGCCUUUCAUAGGCGCUGGAGAGGCGUUGAGGGUCUCCUCUCCUGCACAAGUUGUGGGGUUCAGGCAUUGGACCUUCAGGGUGGGGCUGGGGCUCCUGUUGGAGUCUAUGUCACGUGGGGCUCCGAGAUGCCCGUGGCAAUGGCCCAGAAAGGCAGGAGGUUUCCAGAGGACGUACAUUCUCAAGUUCGUCCUUCCAUGCUUGGCCAUCCUGUGCAGGGAAGGUGUCAGGGUCAGAUGGGGUUGUAGAGUUGGAUGGAGAUUCUAGAUGGGUUUCCUGUGGCUGGAAGUGUUUCUUGGUCACCUUAAGAGCCACAUGGGACCUGAGCUAAGGCCGGCAUGGCGCAGGCAAGUGAAAAGUCUGCAUUCCCUAACGAGCGUGUACUGAGGAGCAGCAGGCUGCGGAGCAGGCCAGUCUUGGUUAUUCUUCAUGGGCAUCCCUCUGUUUUGUCUCCUUGCAUUCGCAUGGCAGGUCGUGUUUCCACGGAAGCAUGGAAAGGUUGCCGCCGGCUCCUGUGGCUGUGGGAAGAUGCCCAGGGAGGACGGGGAACACCCGCAUGCCCGUGCCCUCUGUUUCCUGAGUGUGGCCCUUCAUAGCUGACGAUGGUAAGCGUCUCCUUGCCCCAAGUCACCGAGGUUGGUCCUUGCCAGGUGAGGGUCACAAGCGUGGAUCGAUGAUGACUCCCACAAAAACAUUCCUUGGAAGCUGAACAAAAUGAGUGAAAACUCUAUACCGUCGUUCUCAUCGAAACUGAGGUCCACCACGUAGACGUAGGGGGCUGCAGUGAGUUGGGUGGUGGAGGGGAGAACCCUGUGGCCCUUUCCCGACGGGGGCUGUGUGGGAAUGGACCCUGGAAGGGAAGGCCCUUUUCAGCCGAGUUCACUUGGCGUUAGGACUCCGAGCCUGUAGUCCUCUGAGUGUCAGUCCUGAUUUGGUUUCGGCAUGCAUGGGUGAUCCAGAGCUCAAGACGUUGAGGAAGACAUUGGCCUGCCCGGGAUGAUUUCCUAGUGGGUGUUCGGCAGUAGGGUUCAGAGGUACUAGGAGGUUGUGGGCCAUGGCACAGGAGAGUAAGUUUCCUCCUCUUGUGGCCUGGAGACGAUUUUGCCAGGGCGAGUAGAACCAUGCUGGUCUGCUGGGUGUUCCAGAGAAAAUUGAGGUCCUCUUUCAGCGGAAGGCGGAGGCAGGCCCAGCGCAAAGCAUGGGAGACCCUUCUUUAGUGCACAGGGGCGUGGUGUUUCCGGGAGUCUGGUGGGUUUUCUCUUUUCCUGGAAAUGCUACAGUGUUGUCAGUGGUAUUGGCACACAAUGUUGGCAGGAGCCAUGGUCCACCAGGGGAAGGAAGGGUGGGUCUCCAGAGGGACCAGUGCCUGGAUGAGUAGAUGGACAUUUGAGGGAAUGCAAAUGGAGAAACUGGGUCUUACCACCAAGCGGGGCCUUUGGCUGCCACUUCUGGGAAUGGGUCCUCCUGAUAGAUGGUUGGCUCUCGAGUUGGGGCGUCAGAAGUGCUUCAGGAAAAAGCCUUAGUAUCGUUGUGUGCUUUUGGUCCGCCCGUGAGGCUGCAUGCAUGGUGGUUGAUGUGCUUUGUGAAAGAGCACAGACGCAGUUUGGAUCCCGAAUGAGCCAAUGUGGUGGCAGACCUCAGGGAUGACUUCUCUGGUAGGAGGCGCAUGUGAACCCGAGACCUCAGCUUGUAGUUAUUGAGCCUAGGACAGCCGUGAAUGGUUUGGGGAGUGGAAAGGCCUAACUGGGUCCAAAGAAGUGCGUAAGGAUUGUUGCCUGUGCCUGAAGGAAGUAGAGAGUGAUGAAAUUCAGCAGUUUGCCAAGUGCCUUUCAUAGGCGCUGGAGAGGCGUUGAGGGUCUCCUCUCCUGCACAAGUUGUGGGGUUCAGGCAUUGGACCUUCAGGGUGGGGCUGGGGCUCCUGUUGGAGUCUAUGUCACGUGGGGCUCCGAGAUGCCCGUGGCAAUGGCCCAGAAAGGCAGGAGGUUUCCAGAGGACGUACAUUCUCAAGUUCGUCCUUCCAUGCUUGGCCAUCCUGUGCAGGGAAGGUGUCAGGGUCAGAUGGGGUUGUAGAGUUGGAUGGAGAUUCUAGAUGGGUUUCCUGUGGCUGGAAGUGUUUCUUGGUCACCUUAAGAGCCACAUGGGACCUGAGCUAAGGCCGGCAUGGCGCAGGCAAGUGAAAAGUCUGCAUUCCCUAACGAGCGUGUACUGAGGAGCAGCAGGCUGCGGAGCAGGCCAGUCUUGGUUAUUCUUCAUGGGCAUCCCUCUGUUUUGUCUCCUUGCAUUCGCAUGGCAGGUCGUGUUUCCACGGAAGCAUGGAAAGGUUGCCGCCGGCUCCUGUGGCUGUGGGAAGAUGCCCAGGGAGGACGGGGAACACCCGCAUGCCCGUGCCCUCUGUUUCCUGAGUGUGGCCCUUCAUAGCUGACGAUGGUAAGCGUCUCCUUGCCCCAAGUCACCGAGGUUGGUCCUUGCCAGGUGAGGGUCACAAGCGUGGAUCGAUGAUGACUCCCACAAAAACAUUCCUUGGAAGCUGAACAAAAUGAGUGAAAACUCUAUACCGUCGUUCUCAUCGAAACUGAGGUCCACCACGUAGACGUAGGGGGCUGCAGUGAGUUGGGUGGUGGAGGGGAGAACCCUGUGGCCCUUUCCCGACGGGGGCUGUGUGGGAAUGGACCCUGGAAGGGAAGGCCCUUUUCAGCCGAGUUCACUUGGCGUUAGGACUCCGAGCCUGUAGUCCUCUGAGUGUCAGUCCUGAUUUGGUUUCGGCAUGCAUGGGUGAUCCAGAGCUCAAGACGUUGAGGAAGACAUUGGCCUGCCCGGGAUGAUUUCCUAGUGGGUGUUCGGCAGUAGGGUUCAGAGGUACUAGGAGGUUGUGGGCCAUGGCACAGGAGAGUAAGUUUCCUCCUCUUGUGGCCUGGAGACGAUUUUGCCAGGGCGAGUAGAACCAUGCUGGUCUGCUGGGUGUUCCAGAGAAAAUUGAGGUCCUCUUUCAGCGGAAGGCGGAGGCAGGCCCAGCGCAAAGCAUGGGAGACCCUUCUUUAGUGCACAGGGGCGUGGUGUUUCCGGGAGUCUGGUGGGUUUUCUCUUUUCCUGGAAAUGCUACAGUGUUGUCAGUGGUAUUGGCACACAAUGUUGGCAGGAGCCAUGGUCCACCAGGGGAAGGAAGGGUGGGUCUCCAGAGGGACCAGUGCCUGGAUGAGUAGAUGGACAUUUGAGGGAAUGCAAAUGGAGAAACUGGGUCUUACCACCAAGCGGGGCCUUUGGCUGCCACUUCUGGGAAUGGGUCCUCCUGAUAGAUGGUUGGCUCUCGAGUUGGGGCGUCAGAAGUGCUUCAGGAAAAAGCCUUAGUAUCGUUGUGUGCUUUUGGUCCGCCCGUGAGGCUGCAUGCAUGGUGGUUGAUGUGCUUUGUGAAAGAGCACAGACGCAGUUUGGAUCCCGAAUGAGCCAAUGUGGUGGCAGACCUCAGGGAUGACUUCUCUGGUAGGAGGCGCAUGUGAACCCGAGACCUCAGCUUGUAGUUAUUGAGCCUAGGACAGCCGUGAAUGGUUUGGGGAGUGGAAAGGCCUAACUGGGUCCAAAGAAGUGCGUAAGGAUUGUUGCCUGUGCCUGAAGGAAGUAGAGAGUGAUGAAAUUCAGCAGUUUGCCAAGUGCCUUUCAUAGGCGCUGGAGAGGCGUUGAGGGUCUCCUCUCCUGCACAAGUUGUGGGGUUCAGGCAUUGGACCUUCAGGGUGGGGCUGGGGCUCCUGUUGGAGUCUAUGUCACGUGGGGCUCCGAGAUGCCCGUGGCAAUGGCCCAGAAAGGCAGGAGGUUUCCAGAGGACGUACAUUCUCAAGUUCGUCCUUCCAUGCUUGGCCAUCCUGUGCAGGGAAGGUGUCAGGGUCAGAUGGGGUUGUAGAGUUGGAUGGAGAUUCUAGAUGGGUUUCCUGUGGCUGGAAGUGUUUCUUGGUCACCUUAAGAGCCACAUGGGACCUGAGCUAAGGCCGGCAUGGCGCAGGCAAGUGAAAAGUCUGCAUUCCCUAACGAGCGUGUACUGAGGAGCAGCAGGCUGCGGAGCAGGCCAGUCUUGGUUAUUCUUCAUGGGCAUCCCUCUGUUUUGUCUCCUUGCAUUCGCAUGGCAGGUCGUGUUUCCACGGAAGCAUGGAAAGGUUGCCGCCGGCUCCUGUGGCUGUGGGAAGAUGCCCAGGGAGGACGGGGAACACCCGCAUGCCCGUGCCCUCUGUUUCCUGAGUGUGGCCCUUCAUAGCUGACGAUGGUAAGCGUCUCCUUGCCCCAAGUCACCGAGGUUGGUCCUUGCCAGGUGAGGGUCACAAGCGUGGAUCGAUGAUGACUCCCACAAAAACAUUCCUUGGAAGCUGAACAAAAUGAGUGAAAACUCUAUACCGUCGUUCUCAUCGAAACUGAGGUCCACCACGUAGACGUAGGGGGCUGCAGUGAGUUGGGUGGUGGAGGGGAGAACCCUGUGGCCCUUUCCCGACGGGGGCUGUGUGGGAAUGGACCCUGGAAGGGAAGGCCCUUUUCAGCCGAGUUCACUUGGCGUUAGGACUCCGAGCCUGUAGUCCUCUGAGUGUCAGUCCUGAUUUGGUUUCGGCAUGCAUGGGUGAUCCAGAGCUCAAGACGUUGAGGAAGACAUUGGCCUGCCCGGGAUGAUUUCCUAGUGGGUGUUCGGCAGUAGGGUUCAGAGGUACUAGGAGGUUGUGGGCCAUGGCACAGGAGAGUAAGUUUCCUCCUCUUGUGGCCUGGAGACGAUUUUGCCAGGGCGAGUAGAACCAUGCUGGUCUGCUGGGUGUUCCAGAGAAAAUUGAGGUCCUCUUUCAGCGGAAGGCGGAGGCAGGCCCAGCGCAAAGCAUGGGAGACCCUUCUUUAGUGCACAGGGGCGUGGUGUUUCCGGGAGUCUGGUGGGUUUUCUCUUUUCCUGGAAAUGCUACAGUGUUGUCAGUGGUAUUGGCACACAAUGUUGGCAGGAGCCAUGGUCCACCAGGGGAAGGAAGGGUGGGUCUCCAGAGGGACCAGUGCCUGGAUGAGUAGAUGGACAUUUGAGGGAAUGCAAAUGGAGAAACUGGGUCUUACCACCAAGCGGGGCCUUUGGCUGCCACUUCUGGGAAUGGGUCCUCCUGAUAGAUGGUUGGCUCUCGAGUUGGGGCGUCAGAAGUGCUUCAGGAAAAAGCCUUAGUAUCGUUGUGUGCUUUUGGUCCGCCCGUGAGGCUGCAUGCAUGGUGGUUGAUGUGCUUUGUGAAAGAGCACAGACGCAGUUUGGAUCCCGAAUGAGCCAAUGUGGUGGCAGACCUCAGGGAUGACUUCUCUGGUAGGAGGCGCAUGUGAACCCGAGACCUCAGCUUGUAGUUAUUGAGCCUAGGACAGCCGUGAAUGGUUUGGGGAGUGGAAAGGCCUAACUGGGUCCAAAGAAGUGCGUAAGGAUUGUUGCCUGUGCCUGAAGGAAGUAGAGAGUGAUGAAAUUCAGCAGUUUGCCAAGUGCCUUUCAUAGGCGCUGGAGAGGCGUUGAGGGUCUCCUCUCCUGCACAAGUUGUGGGGUUCAGGCAUUGGACCUUCAGGGUGGGGCUGGGGCUCCUGUUGGAGUCUAUGUCACGUGGGGCUCCGAGAUGCCCGUGGCAAUGGCCCAGAAAGGCAGGAGGUUUCCAGAGGACGUACAUUCUCAAGUUCGUCCUUCCAUGCUUGGCCAUCCUGUGCAGGGAAGGUGUCAGGGUCAGAUGGGGUUGUAGAGUUGGAUGGAGAUUCUAGAUGGGUUUCCUGUGGCUGGAAGUGUUUCUUGGUCACCUUAAGAGCCACAUGGGACCUGAGCUAAGGCCGGCAUGGCGCAGGCAAGUGAAAAGUCUGCAUUCCCUAACGAGCGUGUACUGAGGAGCAGCAGGCUGCGGAGCAGGCCAGUCUUGGUUAUUCUUCAUGGGCAUCCCUCUGUUUUGUCUCCUUGCAUUCGCAUGGCAGGUCGUGUUUCCACGGAAGCAUGGAAAGGUUGCCGCCGGCUCCUGUGGCUGUGGGAAGAUGCCCAGGGAGGACGGGGAACACCCGCAUGCCCGUGCCCUCUGUUUCCUGAGUGUGGCCCUUCAUAGCUGACGAUGGUAAGCGUCUCCUUGCCCCAAGUCACCGAGGUUGGUCCUUGCCAGGUGAGGGUCACAAGCGUGGAUCGAUGAUGACUCCCACAAAAACAUUCCUUGGAAGCUGAACAAAAUGAGUGAAAACUCUAUACCGUCGUUCUCAUCGAAACUGAGGUCCACCACGUAGACGUAGGGGGCUGCAGUGAGUUGGGUGGUGGAGGGGAGAACCCUGUGGCCCUUUCCCGACGGGGGCUGUGUGGGAAUGGACCCUGGAAGGGAAGGCCCUUUUCAGCCGAGUUCACUUGGCGUUAGGACUCCGAGCCUGUAGUCCUCUGAGUGUCAGUCCUGAUUUGGUUUCGGCAUGCAUGGGUGAUCCAGAGCUCAAGACGUUGAGGAAGACAUUGGCCUGCCCGGGAUGAUUUCCUAGUGGGUGUUCGGCAGUAGGGUUCAGAGGUACUAGGAGGUUGUGGGCCAUGGCACAGGAGAGUAAGUUUCCUCCUCUUGUGGCCUGGAGACGAUUUUGCCAGGGCGAGUAGAACCAUGCUGGUCUGCUGGGUGUUCCAGAGAAAAUUGAGGUCCUCUUUCAGCGGAAGGCGGAGGCAGGCCCAGCGCAAAGCAUGGGAGACCCUUCUUUAGUGCACAGGGGCGUGGUGUUUCCGGGAGUCUGGUGGGUUUUCUCUUUUCCUGGAAAUGCUACAGUGUUGUCAGUGGUAUUGGCACACAAUGUUGGCAGGAGCCAUGGUCCACCAGGGGAAGGAAGGGUGGGUCUCCAGAGGGACCAGUGCCUGGAUGAGUAGAUGGACAUUUGAGGGAAUGCAAAUGGAGAAACUGGGUCUUACCACCAAGCGGGGCCUUUGGCUGCCACUUCUGGGAAUGGGUCCUCCUGAUAGAUGGUUGGCUCUCGAGUUGGGGCGUCAGAAGUGCUUCAGGAAAAAGCCUUAGUAUCGUUGUGUGCUUUUGGUCCGCCCGUGAGGCUGCAUGCAUGGUGGUUGAUGUGCUUUGUGAAAGAGCACAGACGCAGUUUGGAUCCCGAAUGAGCCAAUGUGGUGGCAGACCUCAGGGAUGACUUCUCUGGUAGGAGGCGCAUGUGAACCCGAGACCUCAGCUUGUAGUUAUUGAGCCUAGGACAGCCGUGAAUGGUUUGGGGAGUGGAAAGGCCUAACUGGGUCCAAAGAAGUGCGUAAGGAUUGUUGCCUGUGCCUGAAGGAAGUAGAGAGUGAUGAAAUUCAGCAGUUUGCCAAGUGCCUUUCAUAGGCGCUGGAGAGGCGUUGAGGGUCUCCUCUCCUGCACAAGUUGUGGGGUUCAGGCAUUGGACCUUCAGGGUGGGGCUGGGGCUCCUGUUGGAGUCUAUGUCACGUGGGGCUCCGAGAUGCCCGUGGCAAUGGCCCAGAAAGGCAGGAGGUUUCCAGAGGACGUACAUUCUCAAGUUCGUCCUUCCAUGCUUGGCCAUCCUGUGCAGGGAAGGUGUCAGGGUCAGAUGGGGUUGUAGAGUUGGAUGGAGAUUCUAGAUGGGUUUCCUGUGGCUGGAAGUGUUUCUUGGUCACCUUAAGAGCCACAUGGGACCUGAGCUAAGGCCGGCAUGGCGCAGGCAAGUGAAAAGUCUGCAUUCCCUAACGAGCGUGUACUGAGGAGCAGCAGGCUGCGGAGCAGGCCAGUCUUGGUUAUUCUUCAUGGGCAUCCCUCUGUUUUGUCUCCUUGCAUUCGCAUGGCAGGUCGUGUUUCCACGGAAGCAUGGAAAGGUUGCCGCCGGCUCCUGUGGCUGUGGGAAGAUGCCCAGGGAGGACGGGGAACACCCGCAUGCCCGUGCCCUCUGUUUCCUGAGUGUGGCCCUUCAUAGCUGACGAUGGUAAGCGUCUCCUUGCCCCAAGUCACCGAGGUUGGUCCUUGCCAGGUGAGGGUCACAAGCGUGGAUCGAUGAUGACUCCCACAAAAACAUUCCUUGGAAGCUGAACAAAAUGAGUGAAAACUCUAUACCGUCGUUCUCAUCGAAACUGAGGUCCACCACGUAGACGUAGGGGGCUGCAGUGAGUUGGGUGGUGGAGGGGAGAACCCUGUGGCCCUUUCCCGACGGGGGCUGUGUGGGAAUGGACCCUGGAAGGGAAGGCCCUUUUCAGCCGAGUUCACUUGGCGUUAGGACUCCGAGCCUGUAGUCCUCUGAGUGUCAGUCCUGAUUUGGUUUCGGCAUGCAUGGGUGAUCCAGAGCUCAAGACGUUGAGGAAGACAUUGGCCUGCCCGGGAUGAUUUCCUAGUGGGUGUUCGGCAGUAGGGUUCAGAGGUACUAGGAGGUUGUGGGCCAUGGCACAGGAGAGUAAGUUUCCUCCUCUUGUGGCCUGGAGACGAUUUUGCCAGGGCGAGUAGAACCAUGCUGGUCUGCUGGGUGUUCCAGAGAAAAUUGAGGUCCUCUUUCAGCGGAAGGCGGAGGCAGGCCCAGCGCAAAGCAUGGGAGACCCUUCUUUAGUGCACAGGGGCGUGGUGUUUCCGGGAGUCUGGUGGGUUUUCUCUUUUCCUGGAAAUGCUACAGUGUUGUCAGUGGUAUUGGCACACAAUGUUGGCAGGAGCCAUGGUCCACCAGGGGAAGGAAGGGUGGGUCUCCAGAGGGACCAGUGCCUGGAUGAGUAGAUGGACAUUUGAGGGAAUGCAAAUGGAGAAACUGGGUCUUACCACCAAGCGGGGCCUUUGGCUGCCACUUCUGGGAAUGGGUCCUCCUGAUAGAUGGUUGGCUCUCGAGUUGGGGCGUCAGAAGUGCUUCAGGAAAAAGCCUUAGUAUCGUUGUGUGCUUUUGGUCCGCCCGUGAGGCUGCAUGCAUGGUGGUUGAUGUGCUUUGUGAAAGAGCACAGACGCAGUUUGGAUCCCGAAUGAGCCAAUGUGGUGGCAGACCUCAGGGAUGACUUCUCUGGUAGGAGGCGCAUGUGAACCCGAGACCUCAGCUUGUAGUUAUUGAGCCUAGGACAGCCGUGAAUGGUUUGGGGAGUGGAAAGGCCUAACUGGGUCCAAAGAAGUGCGUAAGGAUUGUUGCCUGUGCCUGAAGGAAGUAGAGAGUGAUGAAAUUCAGCAGUUUGCCAAGUGCCUUUCAUAGGCGCUGGAGAGGCGUUGAGGGUCUCCUCUCCUGCACAAGUUGUGGGGUUCAGGCAUUGGACCUUCAGGGUGGGGCUGGGGCUCCUGUUGGAGUCUAUGUCACGUGGGGCUCCGAGAUGCCCGUGGCAAUGGCCCAGAAAGGCAGGAGGUUUCCAGAGGACGUACAUUCUCAAGUUCGUCCUUCCAUGCUUGGCCAUCCUGUGCAGGGAAGGUGUCAGGGUCAGAUGGGGUUGUAGAGUUGGAUGGAGAUUCUAGAUGGGUUUCCUGUGGCUGGAAGUGUUUCUUGGUCACCUUAAGAGCCACAUGGGACCUGAGCUAAGGCCGGCAUGGCGCAGGCAAGUGAAAAGUCUGCAUUCCCUAACGAGCGUGUACUGAGGAGCAGCAGGCUGCGGAGCAGGCCAGUCUUGGUUAUUCUUCAUGGGCAUCCCUCUGUUUUGUCUCCUUGCAUUCGCAUGGCAGGUCGUGUUUCCACGGAAGCAUGGAAAGGUUGCCGCCGGCUCCUGUGGCUGUGGGAAGAUGCCCAGGGAGGACGGGGAACACCCGCAUGCCCGUGCCCUCUGUUUCCUGAGUGUGGCCCUUCAUAGCUGACGAUGGUAAGCGUCUCCUUGCCCCAAGUCACCGAGGUUGGUCCUUGCCAGGUGAGGGUCACAAGCGUGGAUCGAUGAUGACUCCCACAAAAACAUUCCUUGGAAGCUGAACAAAAUGAGUGAAAACUCUAUACCGUCGUUCUCAUCGAAACUGAGGUCCACCACGUAGACGUAGGGGGCUGCAGUGAGUUGGGUGGUGGAGGGGAGAACCCUGUGGCCCUUUCCCGACGGGGGCUGUGUGGGAAUGGACCCUGGAAGGGAAGGCCCUUUUCAGCCGAGUUCACUUGGCGUUAGGACUCCGAGCCUGUAGUCCUCUGAGUGUCAGUCCUGAUUUGGUUUCGGCAUGCAUGGGUGAUCCAGAGCUCAAGACGUUGAGGAAGACAUUGGCCUGCCCGGGAUGAUUUCCUAGUGGGUGUUCGGCAGUAGGGUUCAGAGGUACUAGGAGGUUGUGGGCCAUGGCACAGGAGAGUAAGUUUCCUCCUCUUGUGGCCUGGAGACGAUUUUGCCAGGGCGAGUAGAACCAUGCUGGUCUGCUGGGUGUUCCAGAGAAAAUUGAGGUCCUCUUUCAGCGGAAGGCGGAGGCAGGCCCAGCGCAAAGCAUGGGAGACCCUUCUUUAGUGCACAGGGGCGUGGUGUUUCCGGGAGUCUGGUGGGUUUUCUCUUUUCCUGGAAAUGCUACAGUGUUGUCAGUGGUAUUGGCACACAAUGUUGGCAGGAGCCAUGGUCCACCAGGGGAAGGAAGGGUGGGUCUCCAGAGGGACCAGUGCCUGGAUGAGUAGAUGGACAUUUGAGGGAAUGCAAAUGGAGAAACUGGGUCUUACCACCAAGCGGGGCCUUUGGCUGCCACUUCUGGGAAUGGGUCCUCCUGAUAGAUGGUUGGCUCUCGAGUUGGGGCGUCAGAAGUGCUUCAGGAAAAAGCCUUAGUAUCGUUGUGUGCUUUUGGUCCGCCCGUGAGGCUGCAUGCAUGGUGGUUGAUGUGCUUUGUGAAAGAGCACAGACGCAGUUUGGAUCCCGAAUGAGCCAAUGUGGUGGCAGACCUCAGGGAUGACUUCUCUGGUAGGAGGCGCAUGUGAACCCGAGACCUCAGCUUGUAGUUAUUGAGCCUAGGACAGCCGUGAAUGGUUUGGGGAGUGGAAAGGCCUAACUGGGUCCAAAGAAGUGCGUAAGGAUUGUUGCCUGUGCCUGAAGGAAGUAGAGAGUGAUGAAAUUCAGCAGUUUGCCAAGUGCCUUUCAUAGGCGCUGGAGAGGCGUUGAGGGUCUCCUCUCCUGCACAAGUUGUGGGGUUCAGGCAUUGGACCUUCAGGGUGGGGCUGGGGCUCCUGUUGGAGUCUAUGUCACGUGGGGCUCCGAGAUGCCCGUGGCAAUGGCCCAGAAAGGCAGGAGGUUUCCAGAGGACGUACAUUCUCAAGUUCGUCCUUCCAUGCUUGGCCAUCCUGUGCAGGGAAGGUGUCAGGGUCAGAUGGGGUUGUAGAGUUGGAUGGAGAUUCUAGAUGGGUUUCCUGUGGCUGGAAGUGUUUCUUGGUCACCUUAAGAGCCACAUGGGACCUGAGCUAAGGCCGGCAUGGCGCAGGCAAGUGAAAAGUCUGCAUUCCCUAACGAGCGUGUACUGAGGAGCAGCAGGCUGCGGAGCAGGCCAGUCUUGGUUAUUCUUCAUGGGCAUCCCUCUGUUUUGUCUCCUUGCAUUCGCAUGGCAGGUCGUGUUUCCACGGAAGCAUGGAAAGGUUGCCGCCGGCUCCUGUGGCUGUGGGAAGAUGCCCAGGGAGGACGGGGAACACCCGCAUGCCCGUGCCCUCUGUUUCCUGAGUGUGGCCCUUCAUAGCUGACGAUGGUAAGCGUCUCCUUGCCCCAAGUCACCGAGGUUGGUCCUUGCCAGGUGAGGGUCACAAGCGUGGAUCGAUGAUGACUCCCACAAAAACAUUCCUUGGAAGCUGAACAAAAUGAGUGAAAACUCUAUACCGUCGUUCUCAUCGAAACUGAGGUCCACCACGUAGACGUAGGGGGCUGCAGUGAGUUGGGUGGUGGAGGGGAGAACCCUGUGGCCCUUUCCCGACGGGGGCUGUGUGGGAAUGGACCCUGGAAGGGAAGGCCCUUUUCAGCCGAGUUCACUUGGCGUUAGGACUCCGAGCCUGUAGUCCUCUGAGUGUCAGUCCUGAUUUGGUUUCGGCAUGCAUGGGUGAUCCAGAGCUCAAGACGUUGAGGAAGACAUUGGCCUGCCCGGGAUGAUUUCCUAGUGGGUGUUCGGCAGUAGGGUUCAGAGGUACUAGGAGGUUGUGGGCCAUGGCACAGGAGAGUAAGUUUCCUCCUCUUGUGGCCUGGAGACGAUUUUGCCAGGGCGAGUAGAACCAUGCUGGUCUGCUGGGUGUUCCAGAGAAAAUUGAGGUCCUCUUUCAGCGGAAGGCGGAGGCAGGCCCAGCGCAAAGCAUGGGAGACCCUUCUUUAGUGCACAGGGGCGUGGUGUUUCCGGGAGUCUGGUGGGUUUUCUCUUUUCCUGGAAAUGCUACAGUGUUGUCAGUGGUAUUGGCACACAAUGUUGGCAGGAGCCAUGGUCCACCAGGGGAAGGAAGGGUGGGUCUCCAGAGGGACCAGUGCCUGGAUGAGUAGAUGGACAUUUGAGGGAAUGCAAAUGGAGAAACUGGGUCUUACCACCAAGCGGGGCCUUUGGCUGCCACUUCUGGGAAUGGGUCCUCCUGAUAGAUGGUUGGCUCUCGAGUUGGGGCGUCAGAAGUGCUUCAGGAAAAAGCCUUAGUAUCGUUGUGUGCUUUUGGUCCGCCCGUGAGGCUGCAUGCAUGGUGGUUGAUGUGCUUUGUGAAAGAGCACAGACGCAGUUUGGAUCCCGAAUGAGCCAAUGUGGUGGCAGACCUCAGGGAUGACUUCUCUGGUAGGAGGCGCAUGUGAACCCGAGACCUCAGCUUGUAGUUAUUGAGCCUAGGACAGCCGUGAAUGGUUUGGGGAGUGGAAAGGCCUAACUGGGUCCAAAGAAGUGCGUAAGGAUUGUUGCCUGUGCCUGAAGGAAGUAGAGAGUGAUGAAAUUCAGCAGUUUGCCAAGUGCCUUUCAUAGGCGCUGGAGAGGCGUUGAGGGUCUCCUCUCCUGCACAAGUUGUGGGGUUCAGGCAUUGGACCUUCAGGGUGGGGCUGGGGCUCCUGUUGGAGUCUAUGUCACGUGGGGCUCCGAGAUGCCCGUGGCAAUGGCCCAGAAAGGCAGGAGGUUUCCAGAGGACGUACAUUCUCAAGUUCGUCCUUCCAUGCUUGGCCAUCCUGUGCAGGGAAGGUGUCAGGGUCAGAUGGGGUUGUAGAGUUGGAUGGAGAUUCUAGAUGGGUUUCCUGUGGCUGGAAGUGUUUCUUGGUCACCUUAAGAGCCACAUGGGACCUGAGCUAAGGCCGGCAUGGCGCAGGCAAGUGAAAAGUCUGCAUUCCCUAACGAGCGUGUACUGAGGAGCAGCAGGCUGCGGAGCAGGCCAGUCUUGGUUAUUCUUCAUGGGCAUCCCUCUGUUUUGUCUCCUUGCAUUCGCAUGGCAGGUCGUGUUUCCACGGAAGCAUGGAAAGGUUGCCGCCGGCUCCUGUGGCUGUGGGAAGAUGCCCAGGGAGGACGGGGAACACCCGCAUGCCCGUGCCCUCUGUUUCCUGAGUGUGGCCCUUCAUAGCUGACGAUGGUAAGCGUCUCCUUGCCCCAAGUCACCGAGGUUGGUCCUUGCCAGGUGAGGGUCACAAGCGUGGAUCGAUGAUGACUCCCACAAAAACAUUCCUUGGAAGCUGAACAAAAUGAGUGAAAACUCUAUACCGUCGUUCUCAUCGAAACUGAGGUCCACCACGUAGACGUAGGGGGCUGCAGUGAGUUGGGUGGUGGAGGGGAGAACCCUGUGGCCCUUUCCCGACGGGGGCUGUGUGGGAAUGGACCCUGGAAGGGAAGGCCCUUUUCAGCCGAGUUCACUUGGCGUUAGGACUCCGAGCCUGUAGUCCUCUGAGUGUCAGUCCUGAUUUGGUUUCGGCAUGCAUGGGUGAUCCAGAGCUCAAGACGUUGAGGAAGACAUUGGCCUGCCCGGGAUGAUUUCCUAGUGGGUGUUCGGCAGUAGGGUUCAGAGGUACUAGGAGGUUGUGGGCCAUGGCACAGGAGAGUAAGUUUCCUCCUCUUGUGGCCUGGAGACGAUUUUGCCAGGGCGAGUAGAACCAUGCUGGUCUGCUGGGUGUUCCAGAGAAAAUUGAGGUCCUCUUUCAGCGGAAGGCGGAGGCAGGCCCAGCGCAAAGCAUGGGAGACCCUUCUUUAGUGCACAGGGGCGUGGUGUUUCCGGGAGUCUGGUGGGUUUUCUCUUUUCCUGGAAAUGCUACAGUGUUGUCAGUGGUAUUGGCACACAAUGUUGGCAGGAGCCAUGGUCCACCAGGGGAAGGAAGGGUGGGUCUCCAGAGGGACCAGUGCCUGGAUGAGUAGAUGGACAUUUGAGGGAAUGCAAAUGGAGAAACUGGGUCUUACCACCAAGCGGGGCCUUUGGCUGCCACUUCUGGGAAUGGGUCCUCCUGAUAGAUGGUUGGUUCUCGAGUUGGGGCGUCAGAAGUGCUUCAGGAAAAAGCCUUAGUAUCGUUGUGUGCUUUUGGUCCGCCCGUGAGGCUGCAUGCAUGGUGGUUGAUGUGCUUUGUGAAAGAGCACAGACGCAGUUUGGAUCCCGAAUGAGCCAAUGUGGUGGCAGACCUCAGGGAUGACUUCUCUGGUAGGAGGCGCAUGUGAACCCGAGACCUCAGCUUGUAGUUAUUGAGCCUAGGACAGCCGUGAAUGGUUUGGGGAGUGGAAAGGCCUAACUGGGUCCAAAGAAGUGCGUAAGGAUUGUUGCCUGUGCCUGAAGGAAGUAGAGAGUGAUGAAAUUCAGCAGUUUGCCAAGUGCCUUUCAUAGGCGCUGGAGAGGCGUUGAGGGUCUCCUCUCCUGCACAAGUUGUGGGGUUCAGGCAUUGGACCUUCAGGGUGGGGCUGGGGCUCCUGUUGGAGUCUAUGUCACGUGGGGCUCCGAGAUGCCCGUGGCAAUGGCCCAGAAAGGCAGGAGGUUUCCAGAGGACGUACAUUCUCAAGUUCGUCCUUCCAUGCUUGGCCAUCCUGUGCAGGGAAGGUGUCAGGGUCAGAUGGGGUUGUAGAGUUGGAUGGAGAUUCUAGAUGGGUUUCCUGUGGCUGGAAGUGUUUCUUGGUCACCUUAAGAGCCACAUGGGACCUGAGCUAAGGCCGGCAUGGCGCAGGCAAGUGAAAAGUCUGCAUUCCCUAACGAGCGUGUACUGAGGAGCAGCAGGCUGCGGAGCAGGCCAGUCUUGGUUAUUCUUCAUGGGCAUCCCUCUGUUUUGUCUCCUUGCAUUCGCAUGGCAGGUCGUGUUUCCACGGAAGCAUGGAAAGGUUGCCGCCGGCUCCUGUGGCUGUGGGAAGAUGCCCAGGGAGGACGGGGAACACCCGCAUGCCCGUGCCCUCUGUUUCCUGAGUGUGGCCCUUCAUAGCUGACGAUGGUAAGCGUCUCCUUGCCCCAAGUCACCGAGGUUGGUCCUUGCCAGGUGAGGGUCACAAGCGUGGAUCGAUGAUGACUCCCACAAAAACAUUCCUUGGAAGCUGAACAAAAUGAGUGAAAACUCUAUACCGUCGUUCUCAUCGAAACUGAGGUCCACCACGUAGACGUAGGGGGCUGCAGUGAGUUGGGUGGUGGAGGGGAGAACCCUGUGGCCCUUUCCCGACGGGGGCUGUGUGGGAAUGGACCCUGGAAGGGAAGGCCCUUUUCAGCCGAGUUCACUUGGCGUUAGGACUCCGAGCCUGUAGUCCUCUGAGUGUCAGUCCUGAUUUGGUUUCGGCAUGCAUGGGUGAUCCAGAGCUCAAGACGUUGAGGAAGACAUUGGCCUGCCCGGGAUGAUUUCCUAGUGGGUGUUCGGCAGUAGGGUUCAGAGGUACUAGGAGGUUGUGGGCCAUGGCACAGGAGAGUAAGUUUCCUCCUCUUGUGGCCUGGAGACGAUUUUGCCAGGGCGAGUAGAACCAUGCUGGUCUGCUGGGUGUUCCAGAGAAAAUUGAGGUCCUCUUUCAGCGGAAGGCGGAGGCAGGCCCAGCGCAAAGCAUGGGAGACCCUUCUUUAGUGCACAGGGGCGUGGUGUUUCCGGGAGUCUGGUGGGUUUUCUCUUUUCCUGGAAAUGCUACAGUGUUGUCAGUGGUAUUGGCACACAAUGUUGGCAGGAGCCAUGGUCCACCAGGGGAAGGAAGGGUGGGUCUCCAGAGGGACCAGUGCCUGGAUGAGUAGAUGGACAUUUGAGGGAAUGCAAAUGGAGAAACUGGGUCUUACCACCAAGCGGGGCCUUUGGCUGCCACUUCUGGGAAUGGGUCCUCCUGAUAGAUGGUUGGUUCUCGAGUUGGGGCGUCAGAAGUGCUUCAGGAAAAAGCCUUAGUAUCGUUGUGUGCUUUUGGUCCGCCCGUGAGGCUGCAUGCAUGGUGGUUGAUGUGCUUUGUGAAAGAGCACAGACGCAGUUUGGAUCCCGAAUGAGCCAAUGUGGUGGCAGACCUCAGGGAUGACUUCUCUGGUAGGAGGCGCAUGUGAACCCGAGACCUCAGCUUGUAGUUAUUGAGCCUAGGACAGCCGUGAAUGGUUUGGGGAGUGGAAAGGCCUAACUGGGUCCAAAGAAGUGCGUAAGGAUUGUUGCCUGUGCCUGAAGGAAGUAGAGAGUGAUGAAAUUCAGCAGUUUGCCAAGUGCCUUUCAUAGGCGCUGGAGAGGCGUUGAGGGUCUCCUCUCCUGCACAAGUUGUGGGGUUCAGGCAUUGGACCUUCAGGGUGGGGCUGGGGCUCCUGUUGGAGUCUAUGUCACGUGGGGCUCCGAGAUGCCCGUGGCAAUGGCCCAGAAAGGCAGGAGGUUUCCAGAGGACGUACAUUCUCAAGUUCGUCCUUCCAUGCUUGGCCAUCCUGUGCAGGGAAGGUGUCAGGGUCAGAUGGGGUUGUAGAGUUGGAUGGAGAUUCUAGAUGGGUUUCCUGUGGCUGGAAGUGUUUCUUGGUCACCUUAAGAGCCACAUGGGACCUGAGCUAAGGCCGGCAUGGCGCAGGCAAGUGAAAAGUCUGCAUUCCCUAACGAGCGUGUACUGAGGAGCAGCAGGCUGCGGAGCAGGCCAGUCUUGGUUAUUCUUCAUGGGCAUCCCUCUGUUUUGUCUCCUUGCAUUCGCAUGGCAGGUCGUGUUUCCACGGAAGCAUGGAAAGGUUGCCGCCGGCUCCUGUGGCUGUGGGAAGAUGCCCAGGGAGGACGGGGAACACCCGCAUGCCCGUGCCCUCUGUUUCCUGAGUGUGGCCCUUCAUAGCUGACGAUGGUAAGCGUCUCCUUGCCCCAAGUCACCGAGGUUGGUCCUUGCCAGGUGAGGGUCACAAGCGUGGAUCGAUGAUGACUCCCACAAAAACAUUCCUUGGAAGCUGAACAAAAUGAGUGAAAACUCUAUACCGUCGUUCUCAUCGAAACUGAGGUCCACCACGUAGACGUAGGGGGCUGCAGUGAGUUGGGUGGUGGAGGGGAGAACCCUGUGGCCCUUUCCCGACGGGGGCUGUGUGGGAAUGGACCCUGGAAGGGAAGGCCCUUUUCAGCCGAGUUCACUUGGCGUUAGGACUCCGAGCCUGUAGUCCUCUGAGUGUCAGUCCUGAUUUGGUUUCGGCAUGCAUGGGUGAUCCAGAGCUCAAGACGUUGAGGAAGACAUUGGCCUGCCCGGGAUGAUUUCCUAGUGGGUGUUCGGCAGUAGGGUUCAGAGGUACUAGGAGGUUGUGGGCCAUGGCACAGGAGAGUAAGUUUCCUCCUCUUGUGGCCUGGAGACGAUUUUGCCAGGGCGAGUAGAACCAUGCUGGUCUGCUGGGUGUUCCAGAGAAAAUUGAGGUCCUCUUUCAGCGGAAGGCGGAGGCAGGCCCAGCGCAAAGCAUGGGAGACCCUUCUUUAGUGCACAGGGGCGUGGUGUUUCCGGGAGUCUGGUGGGUUUUCUCUUUUCCUGGAAAUGCUACAGUGUUGUCAGUGGUAUUGGCACACAAUGUUGGCAGGAGCCAUGGUCCACCAGGGGAAGGAAGGGUGGGUCUCCAGAGGGACCAGUGCCUGGAUGAGUAGAUGGACAUUUGAGGGAAUGCAAAUGGAGAAACUGGGUCUUACCACCAAGCGGGGCCUUUGGCUGCCACUUCUGGGAAUGGGUCCUCCUGAUAGAUGGUUGGCUCUCGAGUUGGGGCGUCAGAAGUGCUUCAGGAAAAAGCCUUAGUAUCGUUGUGUGCUUUUGGUCCGCCCGUGAGGCUGCAUGCAUGGUGGUUGAUGUGCUUUGUGAAAGAGCACAGACGCAGUUUGGAUCCCGAAUGAGCCAAUGUGGUGGCAGACCUCAGGGAUGACUUCUCUGGUAGGAGGCGCAUGUGAACCCGAGACCUCAGCUUGUAGUUAUUGAGCCUAGGACAGCCGUGAAUGGUUUGGGGAGUGGAAAGGCCUAACUGGGUCCAAAGAAGUGCGUAAGGAUUGUUGCCUGUGCCUGAAGGAAGUAGAGAGUGAUGAAAUUCAGCAGUUUGCCAAGUGCCUUUCAUAGGCGCUGGAGAGGCGUUGAGGGUCUCCUCUCCUGCACAAGUUGUGGGGUUCAGGCAUUGGACCUUCAGGGUGGGGCUGGGGCUCCUGUUGGAGUCUAUGUCACGUGGGGCUCCGAGAUGCCCGUGGCAAUGGCCCAGAAAGGCAGGAGGUUUCCAGAGGACGUACAUUCUCAAGUUCGUCCUUCCAUGCUUGGCCAUCCUGUGCAGGGAAGGUGUCAGGGUCAGAUGGGGUUGUAGAGUUGGAUGGAGAUUCUAGAUGGGUUUCCUGUGGCUGGAAGUGUUUCUUGGUCACCUUAAGAGCCACAUGGGACCUGAGCUAAGGCCGGCAUGGCGCAGGCAAGUGAAAAGUCUGCAUUCCCUAACGAGCGUGUACUGAGGAGCAGCAGGCUGCGGAGCAGGCCAGUCUUGGUUAUUCUUCAUGGGCAUCCCUCUGUUUUGUCUCCUUGCAUUCGCAUGGCAGGUCGUGUUUCCACGGAAGCAUGGAAAGGUUGCCGCCGGCUGCUGUGGCUGUGGGAAGAUGCCCAGGGAGGACGGGGAACACCCGCAUGCCCGUGCCCUCUGUUUCCUGAGUGUGGCCCUUCAUAGCUGACGAUGGUCAUGUUUCUACAGACGCAUUGAAAGGUUCUGGCCGGUUCCCCUGUCCAUGUGAACAUGCCCAAGGAGGACGGGGAACACCUGCAUCCCCAUGCCCUCUGUUUCCUGUGUGUCGCCCUGCAUGGCUUCCGAUGGUAAGCGUCUCCUCUGCUAUAGUCCUCGAGGUUGCUCCUUUCCAGGUGAGGGUCAUAAGCGUGGAUUGAUGAUGACUUUCACAAAAACAUUCUUUGGAAGCUGAACAAAAUGAGUUGAAAAUCUAUACAUUAUUCUCAUCGAAUCUGAGGUCCAUCACAUAGACAUAGCAGGCAGCAGUGAGGCGGGUGGUGGAAGGGAGAAUCCUGUGCCCCUUUCCUGAUCGGGGCUGUGUUUAUGGAUCCUUUUCAGCCUAGUUCACUUGGUAUUAGGGCUUCCAGCCUGUAGUUCUCUGUUGUCAGUCCUCGUUUGGUUUCUGCAUGCAUGGGUGAUCCAGGGCUCAGGAUGUUGAGUAAGACAGUGGCCUGCACACAAUGAUUUCCUAGUGCAUGUUUGGCAGUAGGGUUCGCCCUAUCUAGGAGGUUUUGGUCCAUGGCAGCAUAAGAAUAAGUUUCCUCCUCUUGUGUACUGGAGUUGUUUUGCCCAUGCACGUAGCACCAUGCUGGUCUGCGGGUUCUUACAGAGACACUCUGGUCCCCGUUGAGCAGACAGCAGAGGAAGGAUGAGCGCAAAGCAUGGCAAGACCCUUUUUUAGUGUACAGGGGCGUGGUGUUUACGGGAGUCUGAUAGGUUUUCCCUUUUCCUGGAAAUGCUACAGUUGUGCUAGUGGUAUUUUCGCACAACGUUUUAAGAGCUAUUGUCUAGCAGGGGAAGGACCGGUGGGUCUUCAGAGGGACCAGUGCCUGGAUGAGUAGAUGGACAUUUGAGGGAAUGCAAAUGGAGAAACUGGGUCUUACCACAAGCGGUGCCUUUUGUUGCCACUUCUGGGAAUGGAUCCUCCUGAUAGAUGGUUGGCUCUCGAGUUGGGGCAUCAGAAGUGCUUCAGUAGUACUAAGUGCCUUAGUAUCGUUGUGUGCUUUUGGUCCUUCCGUUAGGCUGCAUGCAUGGUGGUUGAUGUGCAUUCUGAAAGAGCAUAGACGCAGUUUGUAUCCCGAAUGAGCCAAUGUGGUGGCAGACCUCAGGGAUGACUUCUUUUGUAGGAGGCGCAUGUGAACCCAAGCCGUCAGCUUCUAGUUUUUGAGCAUAGGACAACCGUGAAUGGUUUGGGGAGUGGAAAGGCCUAACUGGGUCCAAGGUAGUUCAUAAAGAUUGUUGCCUGUGCCUGAAGGAAGUAGAGAGUGAUGAAAUUCAGCAGUUUGCCAAGUGCCUUUCAUAGUCGCUGGACAGGCAUUGAGGGUCUCCUCUCCUGCACAAGUUGUGCAGUCAGCCAGUGGAGCAUAAUGGGGGAGCCAGGGCUCCUGUUGGAAUCUAUAUCAUGUGGGGCUCUGAGAUGCAUGUGGCAAUGGCUCAGAAAGGCAGGAGGUUUCCAGAUGAUGUACUGUCUCAAGUUCAUCCUUCCAUGCUCUGACUUCCUGUGGAGGGAAGUUGUCAGGGUCAGAUUGGGUCAUAGAGUUUGGGCCGGAGAGCCUCAGAUGGGUUUCCUGUGGCUUCUGGAAGUGUUUCUUGGGCAGCUUAAGAGCCACAUGGGAACUGCGCUAAGACCGGCAUGGCGUAGGCAACUGAAAAGGCUGCAGUCCCUAUUGAGUGUUUACUGAGGAGCAGCAGGCUUCGGAGUAGUCCAGUCAUGGGUUUUUUCAUGGGCAUCUCUCUCUUUUGUCUCCUUGCAUAUGCAUGGCAUGUCGUGUUUCCACGGAAGGAUUGAAAGGUUGCCUCCGGUUCUCCUGGCUGUGGGAAGAUGCCCAAGGAGGACAGGGAACACCCACCUCCCCGUGCCCUCUGUUUCCUGAGUAUUGUGUUUCUUCUCUUUUGAGGAUAAUGAUUGUCUUUUUGUUUGGCAGACUCUUCCUCAUCCAGGGUCAAAUGAAACUUGGGUAUUAGAUUAUGAAGUCCUUGAUGCCAAAUCAUGAUUGACAGAUCUCAUGCACCAAGCAGGAAUGCAUACAGGACCUGUUGGUGUAAGCACAGCAGCAUAUCCUUUUCCCCAUGUGAUCAGAGGCACAGGGUCCCACCAUCCUGGGUCUGGUGGAACCUUGUAUUUUACGUGAAUUUUUUGGUAAUGGUUGUUUGGGAAUAAAAUGUCUAUCCAAGUCA